rnacentral:rRNA from 1 species
GACGAACGCUGGCGGCGUGCUUAACACAUGCAAGUCGAACGGAAAGGCCCUGCUUUUGUGGGGUGCUCGAGUGGCGAACGGGUGAGUAACACGUGAGUAACCUGCCCUUGACUUUGGGAUAACUUCAGGAAACUGGGGCUAAUACCGGAUAGGAGCUCCUGCUGCAUGGUGGGGGUUGGAAAGUUUCGGCGGUUGGGGAUGGACUCGCGGCUUAUCAGCUUGUUGGUGGGGUAGUGGCUUACCAAGGCUUUGACGGGUAGCCGGCCUGAGAGGGUGACCGGCCACAUGGGGACUGAGAUACGGCCCAGACUCCUACGGGAGGCAGCAGUGGGGAAUAUUGCACAAGGGGCGGAAGCCUGAUGCAGCAACGCCGCGUGCGGGAUGACGGCCUUCGGGUGGUAAACCGCUUUCGCCUGUGACGAAGCGUGAGUGACGGUAAUGGGGAAAGAAGCACCGGCUAACUACGU